UGGUAGUGUAUUGGACAACCAUGGCGUUCACGGGUAACGGAGGAUUAGGGUUCGAUUCCGGAGAGGGAGCCUGAGAAACGGCUACCACAUCUAAGGAAGGCAGCAGGCGCGUAAAUUACCCAAUCCUGACUCAGGGAGGUAGUGACAAGAAAUAACGGACCGAAGCUUUUGUUUCGGGAUCGCAAUGAGUAGAAUUUAAACCCCUUUACGAGGAUCAAUUGGAGGGCAAGUCUGGUGCCAGCAGCCGCGGUAAUUCCAGCUCCAAUAGCAUAUAUUAAAGUUGUUGCAGUUAAAAAGCUCGUAGUUGGAUUUCUGAGGGGGUGCCAAUGUCCGCUGUUGCGUGUUCAGCGGCGCCCCCUCAUCCUUCUGUUAACGUUUCUGACAUUCAUUUGUUGGUCUCGGGCUCAGAUAUUUUACCUUGAGAAAAUUAGAGUGUUCUAGGCAGGCUUGCGCCGGAAUACAUUAGCAUGGAAUAAUAGAAUAGGACUUUAGUCUCCUUUGUUGGUUUGAGGGAUUGAAGUAAUGAUUAAUAGGGAUAGUUGGGGGCAUUAGUAUUUAAUUGUCAGAGGUGAAAUUCUCGGAUUUGUUAAAGACUAACUUAUGCGAAAGCAUUUGCCAAGGAUGU
rnacentral:rRNA from 1 species